rnacentral:rRNA from 1 species
UACGGAGGGGGCUAGCGUUGUUCGGAAUUACUGGGCGUAAAGCGCGCGUAGGCGGACCUGCAAGUCGGGGGUGAAAGCCCGAGGCUCAACCUCGGAACUGCCUUCGAUACUGCGGGUCUCGAGUCCGGGAGAGGUAAGUGGAAUUCCUAGUGUAGAGGUGAAAUUCGUAGAUAUUAGGAAGAACACCAGUGGCGAAGGCGGCUCUCUGGGACGGUACUGACGCUGAGACGCGAAAGCAAGGGGAGCGAACAGG